GUAAAGGAUCUCAAACAUCUACUUUAUCUCCAUCCCCAGCCCCAUAUGUCUGAGUGAUGUCCAGGCCUGGUUUCACUCCAAAAGGAGAAAAAAGGAAGGAGUGGGGAUCAGUAAAGCUCACAGGAAACCUCCCGAACAGGCCCACCUGGAAACGGCUGCAGGAAGGAAGAAAUUAAUACAUCCUGGAGCCAGGACUUUACCCCCUCCCCUUUUAGUAUAAAAGAAGCAUGAAUUCUAACUCAGGGAAGAUGGUUCUUUGGGACACUAGUCCACCAUCUUCUCAAUCUGCUGCUUUUCCAAAUAAAGUUGUUCUUCCUUGCCCCGACA